GUUUAUGUUUUUUCUAUUUCUAUUUAAAUGGGAAGGUUCAGACAUCGUUUGAUGUAUAUAUGUUACCAACUAAAUGAAAUAUUGUCCUUUUUAAAGUGGUGCUCCAUUGUAUUGUGACGUACCAGAGACGUUUAAGAUUUCAAUUUCUGGAAUCCGAUCUUACACAAUCGAAAAAGAAAAAGCUCAGAUAUCACUUUUGCAGAAAGAGAACCCAUUAUAUGUAUGAGGUUGGUCGUAUCUAUAUUAGUAGCGUGUGGCAUUACUCUGGUUUUAUCCAACCCGCUCGGAAAUUUGGAUGGUAAAAACACAAAA